AGAGUUUGAUUAUGGCUCAGGACGAACGCUGGCGGCGCGCCUAACACAUGCAAGUCGAACGGAACUUAGAGAGCUUGCUUUUUAAGCUUAGUGGCGAACGGGUGAGUAACGCGUGAGUAACCUGCCCUAGAGUGGGGGACAACAGUUGGAAACGACUGCUAAUACCGCAUAAGCCCACGGUGCCGCAUGGCACUGAGGGAAAAGGAUUUAUUCGCUUUAGGAUGGACUCGCGUCCAAUUAGCUAGUUGGUGAGGUAACGGCCCACCAAGGCGACGAUUGGUAGCCGGACUGAGAGGUUGAACGGCCACAUUGGGACUGAGACACGGCCCAG
rnacentral:rRNA from 1 species